GGAGCACUGAUUCGAGGGGUUGGACUAGAUGAUCUCCAGAGAUCCCUUCCAACCUCAAUCUUUCUGUGAUGCUGUGAUAUGUAUUGUGUGUGUGUUUAGGGGCAGAGAAUAGAGAGCUUGGAGAAUUAAGAAAAAGUGGAACUAUAUUUCAAAGUGGAACUGUAUUUCAAAGUGUCAAGAGAAGUUAAGAUUCAACAAGGGCAGGUUUCCUUCCAUAGUAAGUCUGGUUAUAUAUUAUAUUUGCACAAAUCAAGUGUUGAGUACAGAUCUGAUGGAUAUUUCAAUCUAUCCUCAUCCCUUUUAGUCCUGCACUGUUGGGAUUGGGUUCUCCGCACAAACAUGCAACUUCUUCUUGGAAUCAUCUUUUCCCUAGGGAUCCAAGUUCCUGGAACACUCAGCUUGAAAUUGCAACAUGACGGAACUGAACCUGACACCUGCAUAGGAUUUGAAAGCACCCUUAAUAGCAUGGGAUCAGGUUUUGCAUAUUGUGCCAAAAACACUUCAGCAAGUCCAGCACCUUCAGCAUCUUUGCAGCACUUUGCUGCUGGAUCUGUGGAAGCCCCUGCUGCCUGAAGACAUCUGGACUGGAGAAGACCUGCAUAUGAGGGUCCCAGCCCCUCUGGUGCAGGAGGUGAAAGACAGCUUAGAUCAGCAUCUGAUCUCCUAUGAACACGACCUCUAAUUUCCUGAUACGAAAGUCUGUCUCUAACAAUCUUCCUUGCUAUCACAAAAGGGCUAUAAGCCCUUUCUAAUGAGCAAUCUGCAAAUACUAGCGAUAGGACUCAACCUUUGUUCCCAAG
rnacentral:lncRNA from 1 species